rnacentral:rRNA from 1 species
UACGGGGGGGGGUAAGCGUUGUUCGGAAUUACUGGGCGUAAAGGGCGCGUAGGCGGCCUUCUAAGUCGAACGUGAAAUCCCCGGGCUCAACCCGGGAACUGCGUCCGAUACUGGAAGGCUUGAAUCCGGGAGAGGGAUGUGGAAUUCCAGGUGUAGCGGUGAAAUGCGUAGAUAUCUGGAGGAACACCGGUGGCGAAGGCGACAUCCUGGACCGGUAUUGACGCUGAGGCGCGAAAGCCAGGGGACGCAA